rfam:Neurospora crassa OR74A linkage group I, whole genome shotgun sequence.
GCCCGGCUGGCGCAAUCGGUAGCGCGCAAGACUUCUAAUCUUGAGGCUGUGGGUUCGAUUCCCACGUCGGGCU